GCUGCAUGGCUGUCGUCAGUCUCGUGUCGUGAGGUGUUGGGUUAAGUCCCGCAACGGAGCGCAACCCUUGUCAUUAGUUACUACAUUUAGUUGGGCACUCUAAUGAGACUGCCGGUGACAAGCCGGAGGAAGGUGGGAUGACGUCAAGUCCUCAUGGCCCUUAUGACCAGGGCUACACACGUGCUACAAUGGCCGGUACAAAGAGUUGCGAUACCGCGAGGUGGAGCUAAUCUCAUAAAGCCGGUCUCAGUUCGGAUUGGAGUCUGCAACUCGACUCCAUGAAGUUGGAAUCGCUAGUAAUCGCGGAUCAGCAUGCUGCGGUGAAUACGUUCCCGGGCCUU
rnacentral:rRNA from 1 species